GCCGUCGCUCCUGGCCGCGAGGUCUGGCGUCGGAGUCUGGCUGCUUAAUGAUUGUCUGACACGGUGCCGGCCGUGCUGACGCCAGGUGGUUGCGAGGACAACAAGGCCGUGUCCUUGGGGACCCGACUCACUUCUGUUCGCCCUGCUCUCGGGUGGCCAGCGUUCUAAUGGGUGUUCGUGCAUAGUGUGGGGUUCCCGUAGUCCGGACAAGCCAGACAACUUUGCUUUAAUUUACCCCGUUUCAGGAAUCAGGGCAUCAGAUCCUGACAUUGUUUUCUCCUCCGUUUGUUCCCAGGUCCUCGCUUAACUUUGUGCCUUUCCUGUAAGCUGGAUAGCAGUACUACUUACUGAAUGCGGCUUUAAGGGAAUGAAUGAGAUGGUUCACUAAAUGUAGCCGACAAAUAUUGGGCACUUGUCAUAGAAAAAAAAAAAGAUAAAUCAGGUGGAGAGGGGUAAGGUAGGGUGCUAUUCUAUACAGGAUGGUCGUUUGGUCUCGCGGGCCUCUGAGGAGGGUACUGAAGGAAGUGAGGAACCAUUCAUGCUUUAUGGAGUUGAAAUCACCGGCUACAAACUUUGUCCUUAUCAGUACAAUACAGAAUAUGUUCAUUGAGGUGGUUCUGUAGCUGCACCAUUAAUUCUAUUAAAUGGAAUUUAAUUAAAUUCCAUUAAUUAAAUUACCUUCAGCUAUA